rnacentral:rRNA from 1 species
UGCUGCGGUUAAAAAGCUCGUAGUUGGAUUUCCCUUUCGGACCGGCAACCCAUCCAAGGCGCGCCCUCGUCUUUCGCGUUCGGGUCCCUUCGCCCUUCUCGUCUCGUUUGCCUUUGCACUUUUUCCCCUUCCUAUCUCACUCUCGCUGAAGAAUGUUGCUCACGACCGGCCUUGUUGCGUGGUAGCAUCAGUGACUCUUGCAUCUAAGCAAGUUUGGGCUCGUUAGGGCGGGUUAGGUGUGUGGCUUUUCGGUUCAAGCGUAGAAUGUCGCUGCGGCGCUUCUUCGUUCCGUCUGGUUACCUCCUCUAUCCGUCUCCCUUACCUGUUUGCUCGUAGUCCUCUGCUCACCUUUAGCUUCGAGUGUUGCGGCGAGACAACGCUGAAAAGAGUUUGAGAAAAAGCUGGGGUUGGUGUGAAGGCGCGGGGAUAAAAAGCGAGUUGGUGCGUUUGAGGGGCUUGUUCCGGGCGAGUAAGCGCGCCCGGUGGUUCACUGAUCGGCUCCGAAUUGAAAAAGCCGUCGGCUUUCACGGGGUGCUCUUCACCGAGUGUCCCGCGUGGCCGACACGUUCACUUUGAAAAAAUUAGAGUGCUUAGAGCAGGCAAUAACUAAUGCCUGAAUGGUGGUGCAUGGAAUGAUGAAACAGGACCUCGGUUCUGUCCUUUUGUUCGG